rnacentral:rRNA from 1 species
AUUGAACGCUGGCGGCAGGCCUAACACAUGCAAGUCGAACGAGUGGCGGACGGGUGAGUAAGGUCUGGGAAACUGCGUGAUGGAGGGGGAUGACUACUGGAAACGGUAGCUAAUACCGCAUACAAUCAGAUGUGUCCAGAUGGGAUUAGGUUGUUGGUGGGGUAACGGCUAACCAAGGAGACGAUCCCUAGCUGGUCGGAGAGGAUGACCAGCCACACUGGGACUGCGACACGGCCCAGACUCCUACGGGAGGCAGCAGUGGGGAAUAUUGCACAAUGGGCGAAAGCCUGAUGCAGCCAUGCCGCGUGUAUGAAGAAGGCCUUCGGGUUGUAAAGUACUUUCAGCAGGGAGGCGUUACCCGCAGAAGAAGCACCGGCUAACUCCGUGCCAGCAGCCGCGGUAAUAC